rnacentral:rRNA from 1 species
AUGGCGGUUCCAAGCAUGGACGUCAAACAAUCAAUCGAGGAAGAGGCCGGAUUUGUUCUUCUGUGGGACGACUACUUCAAAGAAGUUCCUCGCUAUCCCGAACAUUUGUUUCGACGAAGAUUUAGGAUGUCCCGUAAUUUGUUCAAACGCAUAGCCGAUGGUAUACUUGAGCAUGAUUAUGAUGGUUAUUUUACUCAAAAAAUAAGUGCUUCUGGAGCUCUUGGGUUACAUCCUCUGCAAAAGAUGACCGCGGCAAUGCGGAUGCUAACAUAUGGAAUAGCAGCUGAUGGUGCUGAUGAGUACAUCCGGUCCGCUGAGGCUACUAAUUUAGAGUCUUGCAAGAAAUUUGUGAUCAAAGUUUGUGAAGUUUUUGGGGAAAGGUACCUGAGAUCUCCAAAUGAAGAAGACAUUGCUAGGUUACUUGCAAUAGGGGAGGAAAGAGGAUUUCCUGGUAUGUUAGGGAGCAUAGAUUGCAUGCACUGGGGUUGGAAAAAUUGCCCCAAAAAAACUGCAGUUGCUUCACAAGAUCUUUGGAUUUGGCAUCUAGCU